rnacentral:lncRNA from 1 species
AGAAAUUGUAAUCAUUUAAAAUACUUUUUAAACAUUAUUAUGAUAGUUGCCAGAGUGAACACUAAAUUGAUUAAAUAAAUAUAAGAUCCAGUAGCACUAUUCAGGUAUUCUGUAUUUAAUUACAUAAUCUAAAGAUCUUUAGGGUUUUCUAGAUUUCUUCUCACUUUGAAUCAAAGUCUGUUCUCUUCAAUUUUAUGCUGUAUAGAGAUAAAAUGAGUGGGUUGUGAUGAGAAUUCUCAGGCAAAUAUUUAAUCAUAUUGCAUGAACUGAGGCUUAAGGUGUAGCACCUCUGAAUACCUGCAAUUGGCAAAUGAAAAUAACCAGAUAUUUCAUGGAUUUUACUAAAAACUCAAAGUUUGAAAAAUCCCUUGAUAGGCAAAUGAUGAAUAAAUUUUAAUUAAAAAGCAGGAGCAUCACUUUGCUUUCAUAUUGCACUUUUCCCAAAUCCCAAAGGGUUAGAAACACUAUAGUACACCUAUGUACAAUAUUAAUUUGUUUAUAACGACAUCUGUUCCUUCUGUUUUGCUUAUUUGCAUGUGAAAUUUGUGUAUUUACAGAAUUUGACUACUCAACUAGCAGAUGCCAUUUUUAAUAUUUUGCUUCAAUAUUUUUAACACGUUGAAUUUCUACUUUAUGCCAUGUACUUACAGGAUGAGAUGGACAAGUAACUGCCAUUGGCUUAUCAACCUAAGAAAAAGAGAUAAUUUAUGGAAGUUGAGAGAUGUGUCAUACACAGAGUUUAAAUAGUCUCAAGGAGCAUCAAUAUGGAAGAUUUCCCAGGAAAGUAUACCUUCUGGAUGUUACCAGAAGCUCUGAGUGAUCUCCUGUGGGAGCGAGAACAGAGAGCUUGAAGUAACAGAAUACCGUUGCACAUUCUUCCAAUCCCCAAGGCAUAAUGAAAACUUACAAAUUGACUUAGCGUCUUUAACAAGACUCCAGGAUAGUAGGUGAGGAAUUUGCAUGGCUAUCGCCUCAGAAAAUCUAGAUGCAUUUUUUUCUAAUAUUCUACAUACCUAAAAAGAGCAAUGUCCUUUUUUAAUAGUCAUAGAGAUGGUAAUAUACAGUAUAUGCUCAUUAAAAUUACAAAUGAGCUUAGCCACAGAGUUGCUUCCCAGUUAAAUGGUAACAUUUUAAAAAGUAAUAAAAAAUUACAGAUUAUAAAAAUGCUUCA